rnacentral:rRNA from 1 species
AUGAGUAAAGCGCUGAGCCCGCGCUACCAAGGCCUAUCCACAUAUGAAAAGGAGUACCUAGCAGUAAUUGUGACUGUAGACCAAUGGCGACCGUACCUCCAGCAUGAUGAAUUCAUCAUCUCAACAGAUCAACGCAGCCUGGUCCAUCUCAAUGAGCAACGCCUCACUACACCUUGGCAGCAAAAAGCAUUCACAAAACUGUUGGGACUGCAGUUCUCGAUCCGUUAUAAGAAAGGAAGCGACAACAUCGCAGCGGAUGCUCUGUCGCGGGUUUUCCGGUGA